rnacentral:rRNA from 1 species
AUCGUUGGGUUAAGUCCCGCAACGAGUCGCAACCCUUUUCCUUAUUUGCCAGCGGGUUAAGCCGGGAACUUUAAGGAUACUGCCAGUGACAAACGUGGAGGAAGGCGGGGACGACGUCAAGUCAUCAUGGCCCUUACGACCAGGGCUACACACGUGCUACAAUGGUCGGUACAAAGGGUUUGCUACCUAGCGAUAGGAUGCUAAUCUCAAAAAGCCGAUCGUAGUCCGGAUUUGGAGUCUGCAACUCGACUCCAUGAAGUCGGAAUCGCUAGUAAUCGCGGAUCAGAAUGCCGCGGUGAAUACGUUCCCGGGCCCUU